AAGUCGUAACAAGGUCUCCGUUGGUGAACCGGCGGAGGGAUCAUUACCGAGUUUACAACUCCCAAACCCAUGUGAACAUUACCUCUAUGUUGCUUCGGCGGAGCCGCCCCGGCGCCCGGAACCCCCUGCGGUCCCGCGGCCCGGAACCAAGGCGCCCGCCGGAGGCCACAAACUCUUCUGUUUUUACAGUUUCUUCUGAGUGUGCCGCAAGGCAGUAUACAAAUGAAUCAAAACUUUCAACAACGGAUCUCUUGGUUCUAGCAUCGAUGAAGAACGCAGCGAAAUGCGAUAAGUAAUGUGAAUUGCAGAAUUCAGUGAAUCAUCGAAUCUUUGAACGCACAUUGCGCCCGCCAGAAUUCUGGCGGGCAUGCCUGUUCGAGCGUCAUUUCAACCCUCGAGCUCCCCUUUCGGGGGGAGCCCGGCGUUGGGGACCCGGCGCUAACAACGCCGGCCCCGAAAUGGAGUGGCGGCCCGUCCGCGGCGACCUCUGCGUAGUAACAACCACUCGCACCGGGACCCGGGCGCGGCCACGCCGUAAAAGCACCCCACCUUCCGAAUGUUGACCUCGAAUCAGGUAGGAAUACCCGCUGAACUUAA
rnacentral:rRNA from 1 species